rnacentral:rRNA from 1 species
UACGUAGGGGGCAAGCGUUGUCCGGAAUCAUUGGGCGUAAAGAGCGUGUAGGCGGCUAGGUAGGUCCGUUGUGAAAACUCGAGGCUCAACCUCGAGACGCCGGUGGAAACCAUCUAGCUAGAGUCCGGAAGAGGAGAGUGGAAUUCCUGGUGUAGCGGUGAAAUGCGCAGAUAUCAGGAAGAACACCCGUGGCGAAGGCGGCUCUCUGGGACGUGACUGACGCUGAGACGCGAAAGCGUGGGGAGCGAACAGG